rnacentral:tRNA from 1 species
AGGUAGGAAGUGAGAGUCACAGUCGGUUUCGGCCCGUUUUUUGAUAGUGCAAAUCUGUCCCUAUCAA